ACAACAAAAAAAAGAAAAAAAGUCACGAGUUCGAGUUCGAGACGAAGAAACUUAAAUCUUAAUUAACGAAUGAAUGCAUUAAUUAUUAAUUAGUAUAUAGUACUCUUUGGAUGUAGGAGUCGGGCAUGAGGGAGCGGAGGACGGCGAGGUGGUCGUUCAUGAGGCGGCGGCGGUUGCGCUCGACGGCGAUGUGCGUCAUCCGCUGGCUCUCCACCUCCUCCUUGCUGCCGCCGCUCCUCGGCCGCCGCCGCCGCUUCCUCUUCCCUCCCUGCACCCUCAUCUGCUGCUGCUCCACCGCCGCCGCCGCCGCUGCCUCGGGCGGCGCGGGGCCGAGCACCGCCGCGCUUUCCGAGGGGUUGGUGUAGUGGAGCUGCGUGGCGUUGAUGGUGUCGUAGAUGAAGAAGCUGGGGAGCUCACUCGAACAUAGUCCUCCGAGUGUACUACUCAUUGUAUGUAUGCGCUCUCUCUCUCCCUCCCCCCUUCUCUCUCUCUCUCUCUCUCUAAUUAAGCUUCUUCAUACUACCUUUAUGUAUGCAGCCCGCACAAACACACACUCUCUCUCUCUCUCUCUCUCUCUCUCUCUCUCUCUCCCUCUCUCUCUCUCACUCACUGCAUGAGGUCGCGUGUACAUAAGACUACAAACCAUUACCACCAAAACCCACUUUUUCUUUCGCAAGGUUCGUGAGUGUUGAGUGUGUGUGUGUGUGUGUGUGUGUGUGUGUGUGUGUGAUAUGAGGUGAAGUUCAAAAGAGAGGAAGGGGGUUGUGAAGAAGAUUACACGUGAGGGGUCAGGAAAGGAGAAUAGCUUUUUUAUUUGCUUCAAAAAAUUUUAAAAAGAGCUCUCUCUCUCUCUCUCUCUCUCUCUCUCUCUCUCCAAAUACAAAUACUCUACAAAGAGGCUGCAACCCAUGUCACGAAAUGAGGUGGGGGACCCAUUAGCAUCAUCGGAAUAGAGACAACAAAACCAUGGUGAUUACAUAUAUAUAUAAUAGCCAGAGCGAGAAUCAGGUGAGGAGGAGAGCGAAAACAAGCACAUGGUCCAGUGGACGUAUUUAAUACAAGAGAAGCCCAGCAUAUACUCUCGCAUAACCAACCUGUACUUUAAGGUAUCGUUUGGUUCGAGGAUAAGAAAAAAAUAAUUAUUUCAAAAAUAAAUAUAAAUUGAGAUAUAAGCGGGAAUUAGAUCAAUUUUGUGUUUGGAUGAAAAUUAGAUUAUUCCUGGGAAUAAAAAAAAAAUAGCGUUUGGUUAGGUAAGAUGGAAUAAGAAAGAUAAUGGGUUUUAUAAAUAAAAAAUAAUAAUAUUAUCCUCUUAUUAUAUUUGAAUUUAAAUUUUUAAAAUUUUAAAUAUAUAUUUUUAAAUUUAAAAUUUUAACUUUGAAAUUUCAAAAUUUGAAAUUUAAAAUCUCAAAUUUUAAAUUCAAAAUUUUAAAUUUUAAAUUUCAAACUUUAAAUUUAAGAUCAAAUUUUAAAAAAUUAAAUUUUUAAUUUUUAAAUUUUUAAAAUAAGAAUAGGGGUGGGACCAAUUAAUAAAAACUAUUUAUUAUAUAAAUUUAAAAAAAAAUUUAAAAUUCUACUUAAACUUAAAUUUAAUAAAAAGAAUUUAUUAUAAUAUUUAAAUAUAAUUUAUUAUAAAUGUUAUUAUAAUAUUUAAAUAUAAAUAAUAUGUAUUAAUAUAGUACAAUUAAGAAAGUGCAGGACGCAUAAAUGCAUGUGGUUCCACGGUGAAGGGAAUAAUAUUCUGCCAAACUAGAGUAUGAACGCUUCGAUCAAACUGUGUACCCGCAUUAAUUACUACGGAAAUUGACCAUGUACUUAUAACAAUGGCACGUUGCCGUUAAAAUAAAAUAAAUAAAUAAAUAAAUAUCAAAAUGUAUAUAUUUCUCCUUAAUUUUCUUUUUUUCUUUUCCAUUAAAUUUGACAAAAUCUGAGGAGAAGAGAUGAGAUGAGAUGAGGUAAAGAAACUCCAUGAGGGUAAUAAUUAAUAUCUGACUAGUAUCACAGUACAAAUAUAAACAUGCAUACUGUACGAAUUUCCAAAAACUCACUCAAACCGGAAAAUUCCGAGCUUGUUUGAAAUGCACUGAUAAUAUUGCACAAUGUACACUUUAAUGUCAAAACUAUUAAAAUUCUAGUGGUAGUUUGAGUGACGAGAUUUUACAACAAAAAAAAGAAAAAAAGUCACGAGUUCGAGUUCGAGACGAAGAAACUUAAAUCUUAAUUAACGAAUGAAUGCAUUAAUUAUUAAUUAGUAUAUAGUACUCUUUGGAUGUAGGAGUCGGGCAUGAGGGAGCGGAGGACGGCGAGGUGGUCGUUCAUGAGGCGGCGGCGGUUGCGCUCGACGGCGAUGUGCGUCAUCCGCUGGCUCUCCACCUCCUCCUUGCUGCCGCCGCUCCUCGGCCGCCGCCGCCGCUUCCUCUUCCCUCCCUGCACCCUCAUCUGCUGCUGCUCCACCGCCGCCGCCGCCGCUGCCUCGGGCGGCGCGGGGCCGAGCACCGCCGCGCUUUCCGAGGGGUUGGUGUAGUGGAGCUGCGUGGCGUUGAUGGUGUCGUAGAUGAAGAAGCUGGGGAGCUCACUCGAACAUAGUCCUCCGAGUGUACUACUCAUUGUAUGUAUGCGCUCUCUCUCUCCCUCCCCCCUUCUCUCUCUCUCUCUCUCUCUAAUUAAGCUUCUUCAUACUACCUUUAUGUAUGCAGCCCGCACAAACACACACACUCUCUCUCUCUCUCUCUCUCUCUCUCUCCCUCUCUCUCUCUCACUCACUGCAUGAGGUCGCGCGUACAUAAGACUACAAACCAUUACCACCAAAACCCACUUUUUCUUUCGCAAGGUUCGUGAGUGUUGAGUGUGUGUGUGUGUGUGUGUGUGUGUGUGUGUGUGUGAUAUGAGGUGAAGUUCAAAAGAGAGGAAGGGGGUUGUGAAGAAGAUUACACGUGAGGGGUCAGGAAAGGAGUAUAGCUUUUCUAUUUCUGCUUCAAAAAAUUUUAAAAAGAGCUCUCUCUCUCUCUCUCUCUCUCUCUCUCUCUCUCUCCAAAUACAAAUACUCUACAAAGAGGCUGCAACCCAUGUCACGAAAUGAGAUGGGGGACCCAUUAGCAUCAUCGGAAUAGAGACAACAAAACCAUGGUGAUUACAUAUAUAUAUAAUAGCCAGAGCGAGAAUCAGGUGAGGAGGAGAGCGAAAACAAGCACAUGGUCCAGUGGACGUAUUUAAUACAAGAGAAGCCCAGC
rnacentral:lncRNA from 1 species